GCACAAUGCUGAUCUUCCUCUUCAAAGCCAAAGAGUCUAUCUUUCACUGCUUUCCAGUGUCACUGGGGAUGCUCAUGUGUUCAAAGCUGCCUUCUCUGGAUCGAUGAUGACAACAGGACAGAAUCCUGGAGGUCUUCUUAUUCUUCAUGCAGAAAAGUUGAGAUCCUGAGAAAGAAGCCUGC